CAUAUUAUUAGCGAAUAGCGCGCAGAUCCCAUACACAUAGUUCAAUCGCCAUGGAGUCAAAGUUCUUACAGUCUUUCGGUAUGUGAUUGACUGCAGGGUAAGGCUAUCUGGGUUAAGUCUUUUCGUGUGAUUCAAAACUCCCGAACGGCCGGUGUUCGUAUACGUUCGUCGAUGGAGCAGGGCGACUCGUUGUUUCAGCGGUGUUCGGCAGAAAAAGUGUCCGUUUUU